UCCUGCUGCAGGACGUUCAGCAGCCGUUUGCUGGCGGAACUGCAGGGCUCAGGCCAGGUCAGGAAACUGUGGAACAACAGGUAGGCUUCCUGCAGCACAACCGGGUCUGCAGCCACGUGAGGACUCUGAGGAGAGACAAGGACCCACAGUCUGGAGCAGGUACUGGUCUCACCGUUCCAGAGUUGUUUGUCCAGAGUGUCGAUGCCCAGACCACAGAGGCAGCGCUCGAGGACAUGCUCGAUUCGAUCUUCCGUGCAAGAGCUUGAGUCCAUCUUCAUCAUCAUCAUCAUCUUCUUCUGCGGCUGCUGUGUGUGAACAUCCAACAGGAAGUCCCAAAAAUAAAAAAACAACAAUUACAGCUUUUGAUAGUGUUCCGGGAAACCUAAAUUAACUUCCUGUUUAUCGCCGUUUCCAGCCCUUUAUGAUCAUUAUUGUUCCUCUCAGGAGACAAUCAAACACAGUCCGGAGUUGAAGGUUUGAGUCGCUCUGACAGAGAUGCAACAAAGAGAUAUGUGAGGGCUGAAAAAAAGAGUCGAUGCCACUUCCUACCCAGAGCUUUGAGUGACUCAGACUGUGGCUGCAAACCGGAGAUGAGCUGGGGGAGCAACAUCAGUCACAACUUCUACUUCUCCACUUCAUUCUUAAAAAUCUCUGACACAACACUUCGUAUGACUCAAAGCGAGGAUGGAAAUAAACCUUGCACAAGGACCACUUCCUAUUUUUUGGCUUUAACGACAGACUUUCAGAUAAGUUAAAGAACAUCUAAGGUCGUGCAUAAAAUACAUUCGCUCUCUACAGAUCAUAUGACACCUGUGGUUAGGCUGGAUUUGAUGACAGGCGAGCAAAACCACACCGACCACACGAUGAAAUAGACCAAUUUUGUCACUGGGCUGAUUAAAGACUAUUUCAAUGCCAAUUUGGAUAGAAAUGUCUAAUUAAGACUGCAAAAAGGACAUACCGUUAAAUAAGGAAGAAGCUUUUCCUCCUGUUCUGCCUGCAGGAUGUCGAUGGAAGCAACGAUUGAGCCCAGCUGGGUCGCAGAGACCGGGGCUGAAUAAUGUGUGCAAUGAGACGACUGGGGUCACCUGUGCUCGUCAAAACAGGAAAAGGCCAACAGGGAAACAUUUAUUCAACGUAAAGACAAUGAGAGAAACUGCACAGGUCUCAACUAUUUAAAAUAAGGACUAAACAGUAAAGAGUGUACGCACAGCAAUAGUGCAUUGGUAGCCUACCUCCAUCAACAGUGACUGUCAUCUUUUAAAUUACAAUUGAUAGAAGAUGAGACUUAAAUGAUUGAUCGAAUAUGAUGUUCAACUGUCUAUCCAUUACUUGAGCUAGCUAUUUCAACUGUGUAUUCAUUAUUCUUUAGCUAACUACAUCAACUGUUAAAAACCAUUGCUUUUAGUUUACAAUCUUA